rnacentral:rRNA from 1 species
UGAGGCUUUGGGUCACCUCCCACCCGUGUUUAUUUUACCUUGUUGCUUCGGCGGGCCCGCCUUUACUGGCCGCCGGGGGGCUCACGCCCCCGGGCCCGCGCCCGCCGAAGACACCCUCGAACUCUGUCUGAAGAUUGAAGUCUGAGUGAAAAUAUAAAUUAUUUAAAACUUUCAACAACGGAUCUCUUGGUUCCGGCAUCGAUGAAGAACGCAGCGAAAUGCGAUACGUAAUGUGAAUUGCAAAUUCAGUGAAUCAUCGAGUCUUUGAACGCACAUUGCGCCCCCUGGUAUUCCGGGGGGCAUGCCUGUCCGAGCGUCAUUGCUGCCCUCAAGCCCGGCUUGUGUGUUGGGCCCCGUCCUCCGAUUCCGGGGGACGGGCCCGAAAGGCAGCGGCGGCACCGCGUCCGGUCCUCGAGCGUAUGGGGCUUUGUCACCCGCUCUGUAGGCCCGGCCGGCGCUUGCCGAUCAACCCAAAUUUUUAUCCAGGUUGACCUCGGAUCAGGUAGGGAUACCCGCUGAACUUAAGCAUAUCAAUAAGCCGAGAGGAA